rnacentral:sRNA from 1 species
UGACGUCACGGGACGUCUGCGCGUUCGG